rnacentral:rRNA from 1 species
AGCGAACGCUGGCGGCAGGCCUAACACAUGCAAGUCGAACGAACCUUUCGGGGUUAGUGGCGGACGGGUGAGUAACACGUGGGAACGUGCCUUUAGGUUCAGAAUAACUCAGGGAAACUUGUGCUAAUACCGAAUGUGCCCUUCGGGGGAAAGAUUUAUCGCCUUUAGAGCGGCCCGCGUCUGAUUAGCUAGUUGGUUGAGGUAAUGGCUCACCAAGGCGACGAUCAGUAGCUGGUCUGAGAGGAUGAUCAGCCACAUUGGGACUGAGACACGGCCCAAACUCCUACGGGAGGCAGCAGUGGGGAAUCUUGCGCAAUGGGCGAAAGCCUGACGCAGCCAUGCCGCGUGAAUGAUGAAGGUCUUAGGAUUGUAAAAUUCUUUCACCGGGGACGAUAAUGACGGUACCCGGAGAAGAAGCCCCGGCUAACUUCGUG